UGGUGGCGAGAAGCUGAUGUGUGCAACACAACGUCCUGGAAGUUGGAACCUGCAAUUGUGAGAACUUCGCAGUGGAAGAAACCAAUUCGUUGUGAAUCGUAACCCACAAAAAAACACCUAAUCCUGCCAAAGAUUGCAGUAACUUGAACAUGUGGAUGGCUCCCAAUGAGGAGAAGAGACCAGUUGAUUGCAGAUGUCGACGUGUCAUGACCCUUGAAAGAGAAAAAGAAGAAAUGGCGCAGUGAAAAACACUAGCAAUUGCGUACUUCGAACAUAAAAGUGUCGACUUCUUCACGAAUGUCGGCAUCGGUUAGCAAAAUCCCAUCGUUUGAAGCAUCAAUAAGAAGAUCAAGGAAAGCCAAGCGUUUCUUAGCUGAAAAGAGAAAUAACUACCUGGAAUGAAAUUUUCAUUUUGACUGCUACACACAUCGAUGGCUUUCUUCACUAAGCUGUUUUGCUUCCGUUCGAGCUUCCUACUUUGAAUCACCUGUAACGAUACAGUAAAUGAUCUAACCUCAAAUGCCUCGGGUGUAAACAACAAAAAAUUCGGGAACGGCCCAGCCCAUAAACGAAGCACAGGACCACAAGCGCGCAUGAUGUACACGUAUCCCAUUAGCCGAGUGAAAAGUUCUA